rnacentral:rRNA from 1 species
UACGUAGGGCGCAAGCGUUAUCCGGAAUUAUUGGGCGUAAAGAGCUCGUAGGCGGUUUGUCGCGUCUGCCGUGAAAGUCCGGGGCUCAACUCCGGAUCUGCGGUGGGUACGGGCAGACUAGAGUGAUGUAGGGGAGACUGGAAUUCCUGGUGUAGCAGUGAAAUGCGUAGAUAUCGAGAGGAACACCAGUGGCGAAGGCGAGUCUCUGGACAUUUCCUGACGCUGAGGCACGAAAGCCAGGGGAGCAAACGGG